GUCUCGCGUCUGGAAUCACCGUCAAGGAGUCAGAUCCAGCCCCGGAGAGGGAGCAGGGUCGAGGUCUCCUUGCAGAAGGCGCCACCGCAGGAAGCACAGGCGCAACGUGCGGUCUCCUUAGCGGAGGCGCUCGCGAUCCUGCAGCCGCCGGUCCGGGAGGUGCUCGGUACCCCUCCUUGGUGCCUGUCCGGUAGCUGGUCACUCUCGGGGGAAGGUCGUGCUACAGAAGGGCACAUGCGAUCACACACAGACGGCGUUGCUGCGGCUUUGACCCUAUGGUGCACCCGAAAGAACACAGAGGGUGGAGGGAGAGAUCCAGGAAGAGGUCGCGGAGCAGAACCUCCUUUCACUUCAGUUAAAAAG
rnacentral:sRNA from 1 species